UACGUAGGGGGCAAGCGUUGUCCGGAAUCAUUGGGCGUAAAGCGCGUGUAGGCGGCUUGGUAAGUCCGCUCUGAAAGCCCGGGGCUCAACCCCGGGAGGCGGGUGGAUACUGUCAAGCUCGAGUCCGGAAGAGGCGAGUGGAAUUCCUGGUGUAGCGGUGAAAUGCGCAGAUAUCAGGAGGAACACCAAUGGCGAAGGCAGGUCUCUGGGCCACUACUGACGCUGAGAAGCGAAAGCAUGGGGAGCGAACAGG
rnacentral:rRNA from 1 species